rnacentral:tRNA from 1 species
CUUGCGGUAGUGUAGUGGUAGCAUAGUUGCCUGUGGAGCAACUGGCGCGGGUUCAAUUCCCGCCCGCAGGC